CUCCACUGGCCGUCGCCCUCCUCGCAGCCAGGACGACCCAGCUGUUCCAUUCCACCACCGGUGACGAGAAACAACAACAGAAUCGCAGAUCGGCUUCCUUCGACGGUGGCUACCAUCUUCACCAGCAACGACGACCCGCAGACCCACCAGCCUUGCAUCGGCGUCUCCUCCAAAGAAGCAAGCCGCUGCCUCUGCCGUCUUUCUCCAGCUCCUCCUGUGCAGCGCCGUCACCACCCAAUCGGCAGAUCUGAUUCGACUGAAGAAGGAAAGAACGGACACCGGGAAGAAGAAAGAAGACAAAAGAAUAGAUCUAAAAAGGAAAACCAGAUUUGAUUUGGACAAAAAAAUUGAAUAAAAUCGACUGUUGCGUUUUCUGUUAUUUUGCAGGUCAUGAUCCUCACCACCGGCGGGAAGGUGAAGAGGGGAGCAAGUUGUGGCUGACCCCUGCCUGUUCGGUGUUUCUCAGGCGGCGCGUGAACCCACGCGCCGCCAGGGGCGGUGGCGCGUGGGAAGACGCGCUGGUACUAUUCCUACGGGUGCAGAUGGGCUUCCCUGCAAUUUUUGGAAUUUUGGGGACUAUUUUGUAAUUUUUAACUUAAUUAAUGUAAUUUUUAUUUAUUUGUUUUGUAUUUGUAU
rnacentral:lncRNA from 1 species